GACGGGGCCCGCACAAGCGGAGGAGCAUGUGGUUUAAUUCGAUGAUACGCGAGGAACUUACCUGGGCUCGAACGUAAGAUGACUGUAGGUGAAAGCUUACAUCUCUUCGGAGCAUUUUACGAGGUGCUGCAUGGUUGUCGUCAGCUCGUGCCGUGAGGUGUCGGGUUAAGUCCCAUAACGAGCGCAACCCUACCUUUAGUUGCCAUCAGGUAAUGCUGGGGACUCUAAAGGAACUGCCUACGCAAGUAGUGAGGAAGGCGGGGAUGACGUCAAAUCAGCACGGCCCUUACGUCCAGGGCUACACACGUGCUACAAUGGCCGAUACAGAGGGCAGCUACCUGGUGACAGGAUGCAAAUCUCCAAAGUCGGUCUCAGUUCGGAUCGGAGUCUGCAACCCGACUCCGUGAAGUUGGAUUCGCUAGUAAUCGCGCAUCAGCCAUGGCGCGGUGAAUACGUUCCCGGGCCUU
rnacentral:rRNA from 1 species